GCUCACAGCUCAGGCAUCCGCAUAGAACAUCUCAUAGAGAUUACCUCCAUGACCCGGAAGCUCAACCUGCAGAUCAGGAAACACUCUAACCUGAGAUCCCUGGGAUCCAUAAGGACACGGAUGUGGCCUUGGUCCCCUGACUGGUGGUAAGAGGGGUCCCCGAAGAGGUGUGACUCCUCCUAUAGCUGGCCAGUCAACGUGGGCCGG
rnacentral:lncRNA from 1 species